rnacentral:snRNA from 1 species
AAAUUUACCAGGCAGGGGAGAUACCAUGAUUAAGAACGUGAUUCACCCAGGGCGAGGCUCAGCUAUCGUGCGGUUGUGCUGACCCCUGCAAAUUCCCCAAAUGAGAGAAUCUCGACUGCAUAAUUUCUGGUAGUGAGGGACUGGUUUUGCGCUCUCCUGAA